rnacentral:rRNA from 1 species
AGUGAACGCUGGCGGUAGGCCUAACACAUGCAAGUCGAACGGCAGCACGGUAAGAGCUUGCUCUUACGGGUGGCGAGUGGCGGACGGGUGAGGAAUACAUCGGAAUCUACUUUUUCGUGGGGGAUAACGUAGGGAAACUUACGCUAAUACCGCAUACGACCUACGGGUGAAAGCAGGGGAUCUUCGGACCUUGCGCGAUUGAAUGAGCCGAUGUCGGAUUAGCUAGUUGGCGGGGUAAAGGCCCACCAAGGCGACGAUCCGUAGCUGGUCUGAGAGGAUGAUCAGCCACGCUGGAACUGAGACACGGUCCAGACUCCUACGGGAGGCAGCAGUGGGGAAUAUUGGACAAAGGGCGCAAGCCUGAUCCAGCCAUACCGCGUGGGUGAAGAAGGCCUUCGGGUUGUAAAGCCCUUUUGUUGGGAAAGAAAAGCAGCAGGUUAAUACCCCGCUGUUCUGACGGUACCCAAAGAAUAAGCACCGGCUAACUUCGUG